GACUGUGGGCGGUGGCCGCGCCAAACCCCGCCCAGCGUGGGACUUUUGCAUCCCCGCUACUGUGACGACGGAAGGCAGCGCCCCUGACCCACGCAAGAUCCCUCCCUGGCUGCAUGCAGUGCUCCCUCGGAGGGAGAUAUGGGAUGGGCAGUUUCCUUCAGAAGAUGCUUCAUAUGAAAGACACCACCCCCUGAUGUUUUGGAAACCCCAGGGAUAAGGUCUAGGGCCUGCAGCUUGCUGCCCGCAAAAAGCCAAUCACUGAGAGAAGUAUUGCCAAGGAAGAAGGCUUCAAUCAGGUGCUGCAGCCCAGAAGAUGGGAGACUAGCUGCAAAUCCAUCUCCCUGACCUACUAAAAUUGGGGGUCUAUAUAGCAGGGAAGACAUGUAACUGUGUAGGGGAAAACAGGAACUAGGGAGGAUUAAGGAAGCAAUCAUGAAGAAAGACGGAUCUGCUGUAUCCUUGUCUGUAUGCCGUCAUCUGGUGUGUUUCAAUUCUUUGAUACUUUUUUUUUCUUCAAAUGUUCUCUCAGAAUCAUCUUUUGAUGCUUUCUUGAGGGGCCUGAGGGUCUUUCCUGAGGAAGGAACUAAGAUAAAGCAAGUAUAAGUUUCAAGCUUUAAGACCAGAGAGUGCGGUGGGCUCACGCCUUUUGUCUCAGCACUUUGGGAGGCCGAGUCGGGCCAAGGCAGGUGGAUCACUUGAGGUCCGGAGUUCCUAACCAGCCUUGUCAACAUGGUGAAACCCGUCUCUAUUAAAAAUACAAAAAUUAGCCUGGCGUGGUGGCGCACACCUGUAAUCCCAGCUACUUGGGAGGCUGAGGCUGGAGAAUUGCUUGAACCGGGACCCAGGAUACAGAGGUUGCAGUGAGCCAAGAUCGUGCUACUGCACUCCAGCCUGGGCGAGAGAGCAAGAUUUCAUUUCAACAAAAGGCAAACAAAUUAAAAUUUAAAAACC